rnacentral:tRNA from 1 species
GCUGUGGUUCAGUGGUAGAGCAUCUGCUUGGCGUUCAAAAGGUCCCAUGUUUGAUCCCUGGCCUCUCCA